UGAGAGAGAGAGAGAGAGACAGAGAGGAGAUGGGUUUUGCUUCCUAUCGCCCAUCUAACUCCAACAUGGAACAACUUGGUUGCUUGUGAAGGGGAGGAGAAGAGAUUAAGGGGGUCCUCUGCAAAACCACCGACAGGGUCAUGUUCAUCCUUUCCCACGCUCUGCAAACUGGUCCCAUGCCUAAUUAUUGCUCUGUGUAUUUGUUAUCUAGUGCUGUGUAUUGCACAACCAAAGAGAAAGAGAGAAUGUUGACGCGACGUU